rnacentral:rRNA from 1 species
UACGUAGGGUGCGAGCGUUGUCCGGAAUUAUUGGGCGUAAAGGGCUCGUAGGCGGUUUGUCGCGUCGGGAGUGAAAACCAGGUGCUUAACACCUGGCUUGCUUUCGAUACGGGCAGACUAGAGGUAUGCAGGGGAGAACGGAAUUCCUGGUGUAGCGGUGAAAUGCGCAGAUAUCGGGAGGAACACCGGUGGCGAAGGCGGUGGUCUGGGCCGGAACUGACGCUGAGGAGCGAAAGCGUGGGGAGCGAACAGG